CUCCGUCAAAAAUAAACCGCUUUCUACAACUGGUGGUAGCAGUCGCCGUCGUUGCGUCGUUAUCCUUAUCAUAUGUAUUGAUCCCAAGAGGCUUUGCAUUCUCGUUUUAGUUCUUGCACGAGGUUUUGCAUUCACUCGGAGUCAGAUUCCAUAUUACCCAUAGCUUUCAACCCUCUUGGUCUCUUCUUGGAGAUUUUCUUCUCCCUGACUUCAUACCGUUCUAGUGUUAGAUCGCAUAGCCAUGACCCUGGACUCACAAGAUUGAGAGUGCGUUGAAUGAACUUGGCCCUCUUCUUGGGUCUCUGUGGCAGCUUUGAACCCUUAAAGGCAAUGAAAUCUUCCUCUUUCUCUUUGUUAGUUAAAGCAAUCACAAACUUGGGUGGCCAGACAGUAGGUGCAGCCUCACCGCUACCUGAAGACGACCCACCUUUCUUGCUAUCAUGCGCUGUCUCGGAAGAUGCCCC
rnacentral:misc_RNA from 1 species